GGGGAAUUUUGGACAAUGGGCGAAAGCCUGAUCCAGCAAUGCCGCGUGUGUGAAGAAGGCCUUCGGGUUGUAAAGCACUUUUGUCCGGAAAGAAAUCCCUUGGGAUAAUACCUCGGGGGGAUGACGGUACCGGAAGAAUAAGGACCGGCUAACUACGUGCCAGCAGCCGCGGUAAUACGUAGGGUCCGAGCGUUAAUCGGAAUUACUGGGCGUAAAGCGUGCGCAGGCGGUUUUGUAAGACAGAUGUGAAAUCCCCGGGCUUAACCUGGGAAUUGCAUUUGUGACUGCAAGGCUAGAGUGUGUCAGAGGGGGGUAGAAUUCCACGUGUAGCAGUGAAAUGCGUAGAGAUGUGGAGGAAUACCGAUGGCGAAGGCAGCCCCCUGGGAUAACACUGACGCUCAUGCACGAAAGCGUGGGGAGCAAAC
rnacentral:rRNA from 1 species